UACAGAGGGGGCAAGCGUUAUUCGGAAUUAUUGGGCGUAAAGGGCGCGUAGGCGGCUUGGCAAGUGGAAGGUGAAAUCCCUCGGCUUAACCGAGGAACUGCCUUCCAGACUGCUUUGCUUGAGGCCGGGAGAGGCGAGUGGAAUUCCCAGUGUAGCGGUGAAAUGCGCAGAUAUCGGGAGGAACACCUAUGGCGAAGGCAGCUCGCUGGGACGUUACUGACGCUGAGACGCGAAAGCGUGGGGAGCAAACAGG
rnacentral:rRNA from 1 species